rnacentral:rRNA from 1 species
GUCGAGCGAGGUAGCAAUACCUAGCGGCAGACGGGUGCGUAACAUGUGGGAAUCUGCCUUUUGGUUCGGAACAACACGGGGAAACCGAUGCUAAUACUGGAUAAGCCCUUACGGGGAAAGUUUUAAUGCCAUAAGAUGAGCCCGCAUUUGAUUAGCUAGUUGGUAAGGUAAAAGCUUACCAAGGCGACAAUCAAUAGCUGAUUUGAGAGGAUGAUCAGCCACACUGGGACUGAGAUACGGCCCAGACUCC